rnacentral:rRNA from 1 species
AUACGAAAGGUGCAAGCGUUGUUCGGAUUUACUGGGCGUAAAGAGAGUGUAGGUGGUUUAUUAAGUCGGAUGUGAAAUCCCGGGGCUCAACCUCGGAACUGCAUUCGAUACUGAUAGGCUAGAGUGUGGGAGGGGUAAGCGGAAUUCCGUAUGUAGCAGUGAAAUGCGUAGAUAUACGGAGGAACACCUGAGGCGAAGGCGGCUUACUGGACCAAUACUGACACUGAGACUCGAAAGCGUGGGUAGCAAACAGGAUUAGAAACCCCAGUAGUCC